CACGUAGGGUACGAGCGUUGUCCGGAAUUAUUGGGCGUAAAGAGCUCGUAGGCGGUGUGUCGCGUCGGCCGUGAAAACCUGCAGCUUAACUGUGGGCUUGCGGUCGAUACGGGCAUGACUGGAGUUCGGCAGGGGAGACUGGAAUUCCUGGUGUAGCGGUGAAAUGCGCAGAUAUCAGGAGGAACACCGGUGGCGAAGGCGACUACCUGGCCUGUUCUUGACGCUGAGGCGCGAAAGCUAGGGGAGCAAACGGG
rnacentral:rRNA from 1 species